AGAGUUUGAUCCUGGCUCAGAUUGAACGCUGGCGGAAUGCUUUACACAUGCAAGUCGAACGGCAGCACGGGUGCUUGCACCUGGUGGCGAGUGGCGAACGGGUGAGUAAUACAUCGGAACGUGCCCAGACGUGGGGGAUAGCUCGGCGAAAGCCGGAUUAAUACCGCAUACGAUCUACGGAUGAAAGCGGGGGACCGUAAGGCCUCGCGCGUCUGGAGCGGCUGAUGGCAGAUUAGGUAGUUGGUGGGGUAAGGGCUCACCAAGCCUGCGAUCUGUAGCUGGUCUGAGAGGAUGAUCAGCCACAUCGGGACUGAGACACGGCCCGAACUCCUACGGGAGGCAGCAGUGGGGAAUUUUGGACAAUGGGCGAAAGCCUGAUCCAGCCAUUCCGCGUGCAGGACAAAGGCCUUCGGGUUGUAAACUGCUUUUGUACGGAACGAAAAAGCCUUCUCUAAUACAGAGGGUCCAUGACGGUACCGUAAGAAUAAGCACCGGCUAACUACGUGCCAGCAGCCGCGGUAAUACGUAGGGUGCAAGCGUUAAUCGGAAUUACUGGGCGUAAAGCGUGCGCAGGCGGUCUUGUAAGACAGAGGUGAAAUCCCCGGGCUCAACCUGGGAACUGCCUUUGUGACUGCAAGGCUGGAGUACGGCAGAGGGGAUGGAAUUCCGCGUGUAGCAUGAAAUGCGUAGAUUGCGGAGGAACACCGAUGCGAAGCAGUCCCCUGGGCCUGUACUGACGCUCAUGCACGAAAGCGUGGGGAGCAAACAGGAUUAGAUACCCUGGUAGUCCACGCCGUAAACGAUGUCAACUAGUUGUUGGGGAUUAUUUCUUCAGUAACGAA
rnacentral:rRNA from 1 species